AGAGGGUGAAAAGAGCCUGAAACCGUCAUGGGGGAAGCGGAUCGCGUUGGCCUGGUGGGCGCCUGUGUGUUCAGCCUUCGGGUGCAUUGGCACAGGUGCUUAUCCGCUGUGGGUUUUCGGGGGUCGAUUUUGGAUCCCUGGAGGCUGAGGGCUCCCUUCGGGUGAGGACAGCGGAGUGACGACGCGAUACGACCCGUCUUGAAACACGGACCAAGGAGUCUAGCGCGGGUGCGAGUCGGAGGGUGCAAGCCCGUGGGCGAAGUGAAAGCGAGUGUAAAAACGAGCAGUUUGGGGCGGCAUAAUGAUCGUUGAUCUCAAGACCGACCCAGAGCAGUUGCGCUGGGACCCGAAAGAUGGUGAACUAUGCCGGAGUAGGGCAAAGCCAGAGGAAACUCUGGUGGAGGCUCGUAGCGGUGCUGACGUGCAAAUCGCUCGUCCAACUUGGGUAUAGGGGCGAAAGACUAAUCGAACCAUCUAGUAGCUGGUUCCCUCCGAAGUUUCUCUCAGGAUAGCGGGCC
rnacentral:rRNA from 1 species